AACAAAUGCCUAUUCAAGUCACAUUGGUUGACUAAAGUCAGGUUUAGUACACAGUCCUUAGAGUUAUGGACUUGAUGCCACUGGGGGACCGUUGAGUGAACAGGAAGCUAGCAUGCCAUAUCAUAAGUGCCACCAAGCGUGAGUACACAGUGACCAGCUUGUUAGUGGGAGGGAUGGGGAAAGAGUGCAUUGUACACAAUGCGAAGAGUGAGGCUAGCUCCCUAGUAUACCAGGUAAUUUUUUUCAAGGCACCAACUCUACAGUGCUACAAAAUAAUAUUUUGAGCUUGGGCAGUGUCCUCCAGUAUCUCCAAGGUAAUAAUAUACUUUAGCUGUCAUUUGAUGCACCAGGGAACAAUUUUAUAGUUUGUUUUUCAUGACAAAAUUCCAGACUAAGUGAUGUAGAACCAAGUGACUCCUGGUUCAUUCUUGGAGACGUGAGAUUGAGAAAUGGAGAAAGAAUAGAGGGAAAAAGGCAGCAUCAGCAUGAAGCUCUUCACAAAUUAGUGUGCUUCACUUGGGAAGUCGCCUGUCUGGGGUGUAUAUGUGUAUAUAUGUGUGUACUGAGAAAUUAACUGUAAAUGUAUCUAAGAUGGAACCAGGCUAAAGGUAAUAUUUUUCUUUCUAGAUCCUAUACACUGGUCCACGGACCAAGUCCUGCAUUGGGUGGUUUGGGUAAUGAAGGAGUUCAGCAUGACUGAUAUAGACCUCACCACACUCAACAUUUCGGGAAGAGAAUUAUGUAGUCUCAACCAAGAAGAUUUUUUUCAGCGGGUCCCUCGGGGAGAAAUUCUUUGGAGUCAUCUGGAGCUUCUUCGAAAAUGUAUAAAAUUAGCGUUAUUAUCUAUUUGCAUUGUAACUAAAGCUUAAUUUUAUUUUUGUAACUUUGUUUUUAUUCUGUUAAUUGUUAAUAUGCAGACACUUAAGCUAUAGUAAUUAAUGUUGUCAUAGGCGGUAUGAGGUGUUCUUAUGUAUUAUCUCAGCACCUAUAGUAAUGCCCUAGACUCUUACUCUCCCCCCCCCCUUUUUUUUCUUUCUUUUUUUUUUUUUUUUUUUUUUUUGUUAGUUUUUAUGUGAGACUGCGGCUGUAAGAUCCCUGCAGGUGGUUAGACAUAGGGAGGAUCCAAACUAAGAUCCUAACCUAGGCUUAUCCCACGUUCCAAGGUCUCUCGUGUUUGUGUAUCUUUUUGAGACAGGUCUUGCUAUAUGGCUAGCCUCAGCUCAGGAUCCUCUUGUGAGCUUGGCUAGAACUGAAGUCAUGAAAGUCUCCCACGAGCCUCCGCCUCCACCUUUAGCCCUUCUCACACAUUCUGAUCAUUGCCUUGUCUGUCCCUAAUCCUCCCCUGCGUUUCUAGGAACGUUAAGAUCCUGGAAUUGCAGGGGAUUUCCCUCCUAGUCUCUUAUUUGUAGGAUUAGGCAUUUUUAUAUGUUUUUCCUAGUUGAAUAAAUAAGGUUUUUUUGUUUGUUUGUUUGUUUUUUGGGUUUUCGAGACAAGGUUUCUCUGUGUAGCCCUGGCUGUCCUGGAACUCACUUUGUAGACCAUGCUGGCCUCGAACUCAGAAAUCCGCCUGCCUCUGCCUCCCAAGUGCUGGGAUUAAAGGCGUGUGCCACCAUGCCCGGCAAUAAAUAAGAUUUUUAAGAGAGUUAUGGAGGCUGUAGAACUUCAGAGCAAAGCUUCUCUGAGGAAAACUUAGAAACUACCUGGCUGACCAAAAAGUUCAAAUUUAAGUACACAGUUUUAGUUGAGUCCACUCCAUAUUUUAACAUGUUUUAAGGUAUCUACUAAGCCAUCUUACCAGCAGUCCAUCCCUUCAUACUGUUUUAUAUGUUGCAAUGCUAGCCGGACCUCCGUCAUUUCCUGUUUAUAAGUGGGCUAGAGUCUAUUCUUUUUGCUAAGAGUUACGUAUGGAAAUGUUCUGCUGUUGAGGACGAGGUGGGCUGGAAAGGCAUGAUACUGCUUUCCUCUUGAGUGGACGCUCACUGGUGUUUUUUGAAGUGUCACUAAGAGACUGGUUAUAUUCAUUGGCUGCGUGGGGUUAUUACCAGCUUCAGUUGUUAAAUGUGAGUAAAUUGAGUGUCAGAGUUUUAACUGAGUUGUUCUUGGAACUACAGUAAUAAUACUGAGAAUAGUCUCUAACGCCAUGGUUUUCUCAGUCUUUCCUAGAUCAACUCUUUGUUGUACCUGUCGCUUUCUAAUUCACCUGAUCUUUCUCAAACUGUGAAAGUUACUACGAAUUUUCUUUCCUAGUCAGGAAACAAGAGUCUUGCUCUCCUCUUUCUCUUCUGUGCAGUAGACUGGGUUUCCUCAGAGAAGCUUUCUUCUAGAGUUUUCCAGCCUCCAUUAACAGCUCAUAGAAUUGCUUGCCUGUCCAGCAUGAAUCCCUGCUCUGCCCCAGUAAGGAAGUGGUUUGGUUUUAGAAUCUAAGGUCCAGUUCUGCAUUUACAGAGUGGACGUGAUCUGCAAGGUGUUUUCUAAAAGAGUCUCUAUUGUUCCCAAGUCUUGUCAGAAGAGGGUUCUGUGAGCAGAGCGUCUGUGGCCUAGCUCUGAAGAGUGCUGUUUCCUAGGACAGGUCUGUUACUGAGAAGCCUGUCUGUCGCCUUGCCAGCCGAGUAAUCUCUUGUGAACCUGUCUGGACAGUGAGAAUUCUUUUUGUACCUUGAUUGAUUAUCACUUGGCCUCCUGCAUGCAGAGCCUAAGUUAAAAUUUCUGUCAGCUUUUAUUAUAUUUGGGGAAGAUAGAUAAGAAAUGUUCCAGGCAUACAAAUUCUUGCGCAUGCAUGCUGUUGAUGUGAACGUCUGUCUGUCAGAUGUGAACAUCUGUCUGUCUGUCAGCAAGGAACAAAGUCUUCAGGGAAAGGGACUGGUUCUGCUUCACACCCCGAGGGCUCCAUGGUCCUCAGGACCUUGCUUUUAGCAUUAUCUUCCUUCUCUCAUGCAUGGCCAAGGUUUGAGGCGCUUUAGAGGAAGUUUGGUAUUCAGGAUUCCUGUAUUUUCUUACAUUACUUAUUACUUCCUGUGUUCUGCUUUCAGCCUUGAGAGUCCCUAAGAACCACACCAAACUCAAGUCUCUGAGAAUCAAGGGUUUGGAGCUGAGUUUACAGGUAGCCAGGGUCUGGGCUGCCUAAUGAAUGGUUCCGUUCUAACUUGUCUCCUUUAAGGUUAAGCUGCUUAUAUUCAUGUAGUGGCAGAAUACUUUUAGUUGUUUUUUUUUUUUUUUAAGAUUUUAUUUAUUUAUUUUAUGCAUAUGAGUACAUCACCAUUGCUCCCUUCAGACACACCAGAAGAAGGAGUCAGACCUCAUUACAGAUGGUUGUGAGCCACCAUGUGGUUGCUGGGAAUUGAACUCAGGACUUCUGGAAGAGCAGUCAGUGCUCUUAACCGCUGAGCCAUCUCUCCAGCCCCAUACUUUUAGUUUUAAUAACACUUUUCUUCAAUGAGACUUUAAGAACUUGUGAGAAAAACCCAAGCUUUUAGCCAGGUGGUGAUGAUGCCCACUCUUAAUCCCAGCGCUUGGAAGGUAGAAGCAGGUGGAUCUCUUAGAACUUUGAGCCAGCCUGGUCUAUAAAGCAAGUUCCAGACAGCCUGGGCUACACAGAGAAGCCCUAUCUUGAAAAAC
rnacentral:lncRNA from 1 species